AUUGAACGCUGGCGGCAGGCUUAACACAUGCAAGUCGAACGAGUGGCGGACGGGUGAGUAAUGAAUGGGAAUCUAGCUUAUGGAGGGGGAUAACUACGGGAAACUGUAGCUAAUACCGCGUACCAUAGGAUGAGCCCAAGGGGGAUGAGGUAGUGGGUGAGGUAAAGGAUCACCAAGCCGCAGAACUCUACCUGGUCUGAGAGGAUGACCAGCCACACUGGGACUGGGACACGGCCCAGACUCCUACGGUGGGCAGCAGUGGGGAAUAUUGCGCAAUGGGGGCAACCCUGACACAGCCAUGCCGCGUGUAUGAAGAAGGCCUUAGGGUUGUAAAGUACUUUCAGUGGGGAGGCGUUACCAGCAGAAGAAGCACCGGCUAACUCCGUGCCAGCAGCCGCGGUAAUAC
rnacentral:rRNA from 1 species